rnacentral:rRNA from 1 species
GGAUUCUCUAAGUAACGGCGAGUGAAAAGAGAUUAGCCCAACAUCGAAGCUUACGUACAUAUUGUAUGGGAAGCAAUGUGAUGUUAAGGUGUUCAUUUAAGCAGUGUGGCCAACUUGAAGUCCAAUUUUGAAUGUGGCAUUGUGUAUUAACCCAUAGAUGGUGAAAGGCCCGUUCAGGUUGGUGGUCAGAUAUGAGAGAACUGCUUGAUGGUGUUCACCUUGGAGUCGGAUUGCUUGAGAGUGCAGUCCAAAGUUGGUGGUAAACUCCAUCAAAGGCUAAAUACCUGUACGAGUCCGAUAGUUAACAAGUACCGUGAGGGAAAGUUGAAAAGUACUCUGAAGAGAGAGUAAACAGUACGUGAAACUACUGGGAGGUUAACCAGAUAAAGUCAAGCUGCUU